UACGGAGGGAGCUAGCGUUGUUCGGAAUUACUGGGCGUAAAGCGCGCGUAGGCGGCUUUGUAAGUUAGAGGUGAAAGCCCGGGGCUCAACCCCGGAACUGCCUUUAAAACUGCAUCGCUUGAAUCCGGGAGAGGUGAGUGGAAUUCCGAGUGUAGAGGUGAAAUUCGUAGAUAUUCGGAAGAACACCAGUGGCGAAAGGCGGCUCACUGGACCGGGUAUUGACGCUGAGGUGCGAAAGCGUGGGGAGCAAACAGG
rnacentral:rRNA from 1 species